GCGCUCUGUUAGUUUGCAGGAAGAGUUCUCUCCUUUACGCAAUGACCAGAUGUCAAUAAGAAGAGUUCAAUUGUCAAGGUAAUAUUUAUUCUGCAUACAAACCGUUUUAUUAACAUUGCUCUCUACUGUGACGUCUUUGCUUUAAUAUUCUGUAGCCCUAAUAAGAGCUUUCACGUAUGAGAGCAUUGCUACCCCAGUGCAUAUUGAAUAGAGGUGUUUUAUAUGCCAUGAAGCAGUUAUAUAUACUAUAUAUAGUGAGUCAGUAAGCAUGGUGUUGGAUAUUAUUUCUAGUAGUAAAAUGUGAAUUCUAGAAUAAAAAUGUGAAUUAUUUCUCUUCAGCAGCAAAAACAUUGGAAAAUUAUUGUGCAAAUCAAAGCAAAUGGUUCUAUUCGUCACCUGCAGACAUACACUGAACAGACAUAUAUGUUUUAUUUCAUGACUGAAUAGAGGAGCCGCACUCAAUUCCGUUUGACACCAGGUGCACUGAAGCAGGACCAGCAAUCCCACAACGCUCAGGCAAACAGAAGAAUGGUCUCCAGGCACUCAAGGUGUUCAAACUCAAGCUUGACAAAGACCUCAUAGCAGGUCGAAACGUUACUUUUUUUGAC
rnacentral:lncRNA from 1 species